rnacentral:rRNA from 1 species
AGCGAACGCUGGCGGCAGGCCUAACACAUGCAAGUCGAGCGCCGUAGCAAUACGGAGCGGCAGACGGGAGAGUAACACGUGGGAACGUACCCUUUGGUUCGGAACAACCCAGGGAAACUUGGGCUAAUACCGGAUAAGCACUUACGGGGAAAGAUUCAUCGCCGAAGGAUCGGCCCGCGUCUGAUUAGCUAGUUGGUGGGGUAAUGGCCCACCAAGGCGACGAUCAGUAGCUGGUCUGAGAGGAUGAUCAGCCUCACUGGGACUGAGACACGGCCCAGACUCCUACGGGAGGCAGCAGUGGGGAAUAUUGGACAAUGGGCGCAAGCCUGAUCCAGCCAUGCCGCGUGGGUGAUGAAGGCCCUAGGGUUGUAAAGCCCUUUCGGCGGGGAAGAUAAUGACGGUACCCGCAGAAGAAGCCCCGGCUAACUUCGUGCCAGCCGCCGCGGUAAUAC